rnacentral:rRNA from 1 species
GACGAACGCUGGCGGCGUGCUUAACACAUGCAAGUCGAACGAUGAACCCGGAGCUUGCUCCGGUGGAUUAGUGGCGAACGGGUGAGUAACACGUGAGUAACCUGCCCUUGACUCUGGGAUAACUGCGGGAAACUGUAGCUAAUACCGGAUACGACCCUCGGCGGCAUCGCCAGGGGGUGGAAAGAAUUUCGGUCAAGGAUGGACUCGCGGCCUAUCAGCUAGUUGGUGAGGUAACGGCUCACCAAGGCGACGACGAGUAGCCGGCCUGAGAGGGGGACCGGGAAAACGGCGACUGAGACACGGCACAGACUACUACGGGAGGCAGCAGUGGGGAAUAUUGCACGAUGGGCGCAAGCCUGAUGCAGCAACGCCGCGUGAGGGAUGACAGCCUUCGGGUUGUAAACCUCUUUUAGUAGGAAAGAAGCGAAAGUGACGGUACCUGCAGAAAAAGCACCGGCUAACUACGUGCCAGCCGCCGCGGUAA